rnacentral:lncRNA from 1 species
GAUCUCAAACAGUUUGUAUUUGUUUGUGUUGUGAGUAUUUGCAGUGUGUUUCUAUUUGUUUGUGUUGUUAGUAUUUGCAGUGUGUUUCUGUUUUUGCAGCGUGUUUGUAUUUGUUUGUGUUGUGAGUAUUUGUGGUGCGUUUUUGUUUUUACAGCAUGUUUGUAUUUGUUUGUGUUGUGAGUAUUUGCAGUGUGUUUCUGUUUUUGCAGAGUGUUUGUAUUUGUUUGUGUUGCGAGUAUUUGCAGUGUGUUUCUGUUUUUGCAGCGUUUGUGUUGUGAGUAUUUGCAGUGUGUUUCUGUUUUUGCAGCGUGUUUGUAUUUGUUUGUGUUGUGAGUAUUUGCAGUGUUUCUGUUUUUGCAGUGUGUUUGUAUUUGUUUGUGUUGUGAGUAUUUGCAGUGUGUUUCUGUUUUUGCAGCGUGUUUGUAUUUGUUUGUGUUGUGAGUAUU